rnacentral:rRNA from 1 species
AAUGAACGCUGGCGGCGUGCCUAACACAUGCAAGUCGAGCGAACGGACGAUAAGCUCGCGCUCCUGCUGUUAGCGGCGGACGGGUGAGUAACACGUGGAUCACCUACUUCUAAUUCUUGGAUAAUUUCGGGGGACAACUGCUACUACUAGCUAAUACUUUGUACCGCAUGAUUCAAAAGUUCUACAGGGUCUUCCCGUCUGUUAUAGCUGGUUCCGCGCUGCAUUAGUUAGUUGGUAAGGUAACGGCUUACCAAGGCGACGAUGCAUAGCUGACCUGAGAGGAUGAUCAGCCACACUGGAACUGAGACACGGUCCAGACUCCUACGGGAGGCAGCAGUAGGGAAUCUUCGACAAUGGGCGAAAGCCUGACGGAGCAAUACCGCGUGAGUGAAGAAGGUCUUCGGGUCGUAAAGCUCUUUUAUUGGGGAAGAAAAUAAGUGGAAUUAACCGUGCAUGUCUUGACGGUACCUAAUCAGAAAGCAACGGCUAACUACGUG